rnacentral:lncRNA from 1 species
GGAAAAGAAGAAAAAAUUCUAGCUUUUCUAGAAUUCAUGACUGAAAAGCUAUCAGUUGCAUUGAUGGUGCCUAUGAUUAUUGAGGAAGCCUCAGGAAACAUUUCUUGAAGAAAUACAGUUAGAAAAAUGACAAAUCUUCUAUCAGGAAAUCAAGUAAUAUAUUUAUGUUUCUAUACUCAUUUAAGGAUACAAAAGCUAUCUUGCAUCCCAUGUUCUGUACAAUAAUAACCAAGGUUGGUAAUUGCUUGCAGAGUAGGUGAAUCUAUGCUGGCUUUUGCGAGAGACUUCAUUAGUUGAAUGUAGUGCAGGUGACAUUCUGGGACCCAGGGCUGUAAGAAGCCUGCCAGCUUCUGCUCAGGUCUCUCGGAACCGAGUUGCAACCUGUCAGGGAGCUUGAGCAGCCCUGUGGAGAGGUCCAUGGGAGAGGAGCCAAGGUCUCUAGCUGACAGCCAAUGCCUACUUGGCAGGCAGGAGUAAGCUGUCUCUGAGGUGGGUCCUGCUGUCCCAAGAAAUCACCUCAGCUGAUGCUGUAUGGGACUGAGAGAAACGCUCAGCCGAACCUUUUCCAGACUCCUGACCAACAAAGUCAUAAGCAGAAUAAAACUGCUAUUUAGUAGAAGCUGCCAUGUUUUAGGGUUUUUUGUUUCGUGUUAUAAACCAUUAGGUGACCAGGAUAUGUGCAUUAAUUUAUUUAAUUCUCACAAUAAUCCUAAAAGGGAGGUAUUACUAUUUAUGCCAGUGAAGUGGUGAUGAAAUUGAUCCAGAGGUGCUGAGAUCCUAGAACUACAAACCAGGGAGAUGGGUACUGAAUCAAGCCUGCCUGACUCUAGAGGCCCACUUCAAACUUUUAAGCUAAAUUGCUGAUGUAAUUAUGAUCUGGAUCUCGUUAACAUGAAGAAAUACAUUUACUUUGAAAGCCCAGAAAGUAAACAUAAUCACUCCUCACUGAUACAGUGCUCACGGAUCCCCAUCAACUCUGUGGAUCACAUCUGACAUCACUGAACUCACACAAAGAGCAAUGAGAAAUGAAACAGAAACUAUGACUUACAAAAUUGUCUCAUAACUUGCAGCACAAACAAACUAUGCAAACCAUGACAUUCGAGGCAAACUAACCUCUGACUCUUAAAGCAGCUCAUUUGGAUGCCUGGGUACAAGACUGCAAACUUGAUCAAGUAACUCUACAAAGCCUUAUAUUUUCAGAGAUCAUUCCAGCAACUCACCUAAGCUAAUGAAUUCUGACCAUCACCGCUCAGACUUAGCUCAUUUACUUCUGCCCCAAAUCCACACCAUGUCAAAUGUCAGUGCCUGAGACCCUCCGAGUACCCGUUCCUAGUGGCCCUUGUUUGAGAUGGGUCACAGCUGUCUUGGGAGUGUUCCCAUGGCUCUAGGCAGCUAAGACACCUAACCUUUGUUCUGAUGACAGAUACGUUAUGGUGAUGUUUGAAGGAUGGACUUGAACGGCAGGAAAAAGGUGUGCCAAAUUGCAAUACUGGAGUUAGAGCUUCAACAAAUGACUUUGGGGGCAGAAAUAAGACACAAUUUUCCCCAUACCAAGGACUGUAAAUAUUUUGGGCUACUUAAGAUGAGUAUGCUGGCUUGGGUUUGUGAGUACUUGAUACUUCACCCUUAUUCCUUGAUGCUCUACUCUGGACAUUCAGGUAAGUGUGGGUUGGACAUUGGUUAAGCCUUCUUUAGAUGGAGGGAAAGAACAACACAUCAGGUGAAUUAUCUGGAAGUCUCCCUGGGAGAAUCCCCCAUAAAGUAGAUCAUUUUGGAUUUUCUUUCCACCAUGAUGCAUAUGGAUAAGACUCACCAGUACCACACACCCAUGUUCAGUUCCCAUGACUCUUAGGCUAGCUCUAACUGACCUUUACUUUCUCUCUCAGUGAAAAACAUUACAUGCAAGCAAAUGAAAGUAACAUUUUUAUAAUGAUCUGGAAUUCAUCCUAAUUUAUAUUAAAAUAAAUACUUUUUAAACUCAAAUGCUUUAGC